CUGUAACCAGUUUCCAAUUUGAUAAUCAGAUCCUUAAAUUCUGACCCCCGCUAGAUUACUUCAAGGCUUUAAAAUGAUAAAGUAUAACCUGCCACUAAAUGAGGCCUAAAGACCAAUCAUCCAACAAUCAGUUUCCUUGAUUUAUUAGUAAUAAAUCGACUCUCUCAAGUCUUGGGGCCCUUUAAAGGUUAUUCCAAAUGAAG